rnacentral:rRNA from 1 species
UAAGGAAUAUUGCUCAAUGGGAGAAAUCCUGAAGCAGCAACGCCGCGUGGAGGAUGAAGGGUCUAUGACUUGUAAACUCCUGUAAAGAAGGAAAAAAUUCCCAUUAGAUGGGAGAUGAUGGUACUUCUGGAGUAAGCCCCGGCUAACUACGUGCCAGCGGCCGCGGUAAUACGUAGGGGCAAGCGUUGUCCGGAUUUACUGGGUGUAAAGGGUGCUCAGGCGGAUUUGUAAGUCAGAGGUGAAAUCUUACAGCUUAACUGUGAAACUGCCUUUGAUACUGCAAGCCUAGAGUAUGGAAGAGAGUGAUGGAAUAUCUGGUGUAGCAGUGAAAUGCGUAGAUAUCAGAUAGAACACCAAUGGCGAAGGCAGUCACUUGGUCCAUUACUGACGCUAAAGCACGAAAGCGUGGGUAGCAAACA